rnacentral:lncRNA from 1 species
AUUCACAGUGCAGCCAGCCCUUGGCUCCCAGAAUUCCCAAAACAAGUGUGCUCCCUUCAGAAAUACAGUCCUUGGAGUAGGAGGCUAACAGAGCUAAGGUGAAGGAUCUAAAACCUGAAAAGAGGCCAAAUGAUUCCUCAAAACCACGCAAGUACGAAGUAGCAGAGCGGAUCUCAAAUCCAGAGCACUGCGUGUUUUGAAAUAUACAAAUAGUGGGAAACGAAAUCUUUGUUCUGGAUGCAGUUAUAAUUUGGAAAGCGAGGAAAUAAAUUAUAACAAGGGGAAAAAACAGAAUACUACUAAAGUCAUGCCGUGUGACUUCUGAAGCUAGCUCCUAAGAAGUCCUUGCAGCUUCUGCCUGCGACUCUUAGAACACUUGCUUUGAAGGAUGCCAGAUGCUGUCUUAAAAGUCUGAGCACUCUGAAACCAUCAUGCUGUGAGGAAGCCCAAGCUAACCACAUGGGCAAAAAAGAUGCCCUCUGACUGCCACCAUUUGAGACACUCUAAUUAAGAACUGCCUCAUUGAGCCCAUGAGGCCCUGUGAAUGAUAAUAAUAAAUUGUUUUUAACCACUAUGUUUUUGGAUUUGUUAUAAGUUUAUAGAUAACAAGAAAAAGUUAUAUUAGCAUGGUAAUAAAAUUAUGGAUAUGUGUAA